rnacentral:rRNA from 1 species
UACAGAGGGGGCAAGCGUUGUUCGGAAUUACUGGGCGUAAAGGGCGCGUAGGUGGCCUUCUAAGUUGAACGUGAAAUCCCUGGGCUCAACCCAGGAACUGCGUCCAAGACUGGGAGGCUUGAAUCCGGGAGAGGGAUGCGGAAUUCCAGGUGUAGCGGUGAAAUGCGUAGAUAUCGGGAGGAACACCUGUGGCGAAAGCGGCUCACUGGACCGCAACUGACGCUGAGGCGCGAAAGCUAGGGGAGCAAACAGG